GGCCUAGUGGUGUAAUGGUUAACACGUCUGCCUUAAAUAAACCCUGCAUCCCUCUGUUUACAGCAGGAGGUCCCUUGUUCGAAUCAAGGCCAGGCUG